AUCAUUUUUUAUCAAGUAUAUUUCCUGUUCUUAUCAGUUUAAUAUCUGAUAGGAGUCCUCUAUCAAAGUACAGUAUAUUAAAUGGAUUUCUGAGGGGCACUGGGUAGCUGUCGGUUGGGUGUCUGCCUUUGGCUCAGGUCAUGAUCCUGGGGUCCUGGGUCAAGCCUGG
rnacentral:snRNA from 2 species